rnacentral:rRNA from 1 species
GUCAUAUGCUUGUCUCAAAGAUUAAGCCAUGCAUGUCUCAGUACAAGCCAAAUUAAGGUGAAACCGCGAAAGGCUCAUUAAAUCAGUUAUGGUUCCUUAGAUCGUACCCACAUUUACUUGGAUAACUGUGGUAAUUCUAGAGCUAAUACAUGCAAACAGAGCUCCGACCGGAGACGGAAGGAGCGCUUUUAUUAGAUCAAAACCAAUCGGUGGCGGGUCUCCCGUCACCGUACACCUUGGUGACUCUGAAUAACUUAUUGCUGAUCGCACGGUCUCGCACCGGCGACGCAUCUUUCAAAUGUCUGCCUUAUCAACUGUCGAUGGUAGGUUCUGCGCCUACCAUGGUUGUAACGGGUAACGGGGAAUCAGGGUUCGAUUCCGGAGAGGGAGCCUGAGAAACGGCUACCACAUCCAAGGAAGGCAGCAGGCGCGCAAAUUACCCACUCCCGGCACGGGGAGGUAGUGACGAAAAAUAACGAUACGGGACUCAUCCGAGGCCCCGUAAUCGGAAUGAGUACACUCUAAACCCUUUAACGAGGAUCAAUUGGAGGGCAAGUCUGGUGCCAGCAGCCGCGGUAAUUCCAGCUCCAAUAGCGUAUAUUAAAGUUGUUGCGGUUAAAAAGCUCGUAGUCGAAUUUGUGUCCCGCGCCGCCGGUUCAUCGCUCGCGGUGUCAACUGGCGUGUCCGCGGGACGUCCUGCCGGUGGGCUUAGCCCCCCGUGGGCGGCCCAAUCUCAAUCCCACCGCGGUGCUCUUCACUGAGUGUCGAGGUGGGCCGGCACGUUUACUUUGAACAAAUUAGAGUGCUUAAAGCAGGCUAAAACAUCGCCUGAAUACUGUGUGCAUGGAAUAAUGGAAUAGGACCUCGGUUCUAUUUUGUUGGUUUUCGGAACCCCGAGGUAAUGAUUAAUAGGAACGGAUGGGGGCAUUCGUAUUGCGACGUUAGAG